rnacentral:rRNA from 1 species
AUUGAACGCUGGCGGCAUGCCUUACACAUGCAAGUCGAGCGGCAGCGCGGGGGCAACCCUGGCGGCGAGCGGCGAACGGGUGAGUAAUGCAUCGGAACGUGUCCUCUUGUGGGGGAUAACCAGUCGAAAGACUGGCUAAUACCGCAUGAGCUCGCAAGAGGAAAGCAGGGGACCCGCAAGGGCCUUGCGCGAGAGGAGCGGCCGAUGCCGGAUUAGCUAGUUGGUGGGGUAAUAGCCCACCAAGGCGACGAUCCGUAGCUGGUCUGAGAGGACGACCAGCCACACUGGGACUGAGACACGGCCCAGACUCCUACGGGAGGCAGCAGUGGGGAAUUUUGGACAAUGGGCGCAAGCCUGAUCCAGCCAUGCCGCGUGUGUGAAGAAGGCCUUCGGGUUGUAAAGCACUUUCGGACGGAACGAAAUCGCGCGCGUUAAUAACGCGCGUGGAUGACGGUACCGUAAGAAGAAGCACCGGCUAACUACGUGC